AAGAUGACUCCAACACCAUCACAGAAUGCCCAACUCUGCCACAGGGCCACUCAUGGACUCAGCCUUGACCCAGGUGGAAGCAGCAGGUGGAAGGGGUGCCUGGGCAGAGGCAGAAUGCCAGAAAAGAGUGUAUGGAAAACUGCCUGCUCUGAACAGGAAGCUGAGGAAGAGAAGAGGCCAAUUUGAUGAGACAGGAGAGUCCAGUGCUUUCCAAAAGGUACUUUUAUUUUUCUUUCAUGACUCUCCCAAAUGCCUUGUAGCUGGCCUGGCCAUAGCAGGUACCUCACAAUCGCCCUGGGAGACAUUUGCUUUGGUAGUGGCAAGUUUCAGAUGCAGACCUCUCACAGAGGAUUCUACCCUGCAGCCUCUCUGAUGAUUCUGGCCCUCUGUGAUCCUCCUCAUUGAGGUCCUAGAGGGGCUUCUCCCCUGCCCACAACAAAAUAGAAAGUCUGGCACUGUGCAUGCAUAAGCCUGCCUUAUUCCCUUUAUAAGCAGCC
rnacentral:lncRNA from 1 species